GAUGAACGCUGGCGGCGUGCUUAACACAUGCAAGUCGAACGAUGAAGCCCAGAUUGCUGGGUGGAUUAGUGGCGAACGGGUGAGUAACACGUGAGUAACCUGCCCUUAACUCUGGGAUAAGCAUGGGAAACUGGGUCUAAUACCGGAUAGGAGCGACUACCGCAUGGUGGGUGUUGGAAAGAUUUAUCGGUUUUGGAUGGACUCGCGGCUUAUCAGCUUGUUGGUGAGGUAAUGGCUCACCAAGGCGACGACGGGUAGACGGCCUGGGAGGGUGACCGGCCACACUGGUACUGCGACACGGCCCAGACGCCUACGGGAGGCAGCAGUGGGGAAUAUUGCACAAUGGGCGAGAGCCUGAUGCAGCGACGCUGCGUGAGGGAUGCCGGCCUUCGGGUUGUAAACCUCUUUCAGUAGGGAAGAAGCGAAAGUGACGGUACCUGCAGAAGAAGCACCGGCUAACUACGUG
rnacentral:rRNA from 1 species